AUAAAUAUUGGAGUAUUGCCAAGUGUUACAUUUAUUAAUGCAUUUAUGAUAGAUUAAGAAUGAUUAAUGAAAAAGAUUAUAUCAAUGUGAUAAAUGAUUCUAGGGACAGAUGUAGAAUAUUCAAUGUUCUUAUUCAUUUUUUUGUGAAUCAUUGGGUUUUUAGAAUUAAUAUUAGUGAAUUAAGGAAUUAAUGAAAUAAUAUACAGAAAAUGAAGAAAAAGGGGCUGAAAUAUGGACCAGUGAUGACAGCUGGUGGCGUAGGAGUCAUGGACGAUGAAUACUAUGUGUCUGGAACUCUGAGGUCCAAUGCAAAAGGAAGUAUAAUCUAUUACCUGUCUCAAAUUAUUAUAUAGACUGAUUUUAGAACUGUAAAGGGACCAUUUUCUUAUACUGUUUUCUUGAAUUUUGAUUCUUUUAUUAUUAAUGGUCAAUUUAAGAAUCAAUGUACAAAUACUGAAAAGUAAAAAUGCAGAGCAUGAGGCAUAUGCACUCUUAAUGUACAUGGUGAAGCAAUAAAAACCAAAGGUAUUGAAUAUACUGAAUUCCAUUAAGAAAAAUAAAUGGUUCAUGUACCUUACCUCUUUAGUGCGCGGUAAUAGAGAAGUUCUUAUUCUGGGUCAGUAGCAAGUAUGAUAUUAAUGCAUUUUUUAAUAGAAAAUUAAUAAGCAUGAUUGCAAAUUAAUGUAUUUUCAAAUGAUUGACUCCGUGUAAAGUGGAGUGUGCAGAACACGGGAGAUAACAUUUCGGUCUUACUCUCAUCUACUUUGCUUUGUGCUUCUCAGAAAGAAGACACCUGACCUGGUGUAAGCAUCCCCCAUGUUCAGGCACUCCAGGCUAGCCUCUCCGUGUGGGAGCAUGAAGCCCAACAAUCAACACACUCGAGCUGAUGUAAGCAUUUUCCAUGGUCAAAAGGUCUGUGAUUUCCUGCAUGCUCUGAGCAUAGAGAUGAAUAAUGGACUCACUCCAGUAGUUGUAAAUACUUCCAUGAUUAUGUGCUCUCUGGUUGCAACUGUGAAUUUGGAGCAUAGAGACCAAUAAUGGAUGCACUCACGCUGAUUUAAACAUUCUUCCGUGACCACAAGUUCUAUGGCUGUGUCUAUGUGUUGGAGAAUGGAGAUUAACGUUGGCACCACAGUUUAUAAGCAUUCUUCUGUGGAAAAGAACUAAGUUGUUAAAUCAAUGAAACAACUCCGAGAAAGAUAUAAGAGCGGGCGCCCUCAAGCUCAUUAAAGCACCUUCACGUGGCAGAGCUCUGCGGCUGCAUCUGUGUCUUAGGAGCAUAGAGAACAAUAAUGGAUGUGUUCCAGUUAAUUUAAAAUCUUCCAUGGUCAGGAGCUCUAUGGAUUUAGGAGCAUGGGGACCAGUAAUGGAUCUGUCAUGCAGAUUUAAGGAUUCUUCCUUGGUCACGAGACCUCAGGCUGCAUUCACCUGUUAGGUUCGUGGAGACCAUAAUGGUCACCCUCGGCUGAUUGAAGCAAUCCACCGUAGUCAUGAGCUCUGUGGUUGCAUCUAUGUGUGAAGAGCAUGGAGCACAAUAACAGAUGCUUGAGCUGAUGUCAGCUUCUGCCAUGACCAAGAUUGUGAUGCUUCCUUUGAGUAUGGAAAGAGACAAGAAUGAACUCACUGGAGAUGAUUCAGCACCUUCUAUGGGCACGAGUUCUGUGGUUGCCUCUGUAUAAUAGGAGGAUGGAGAUUAAUAAGAAACCCUGGACCUGAUUUAAAGAUUUUUCCUUGAUCCUGACCUCUAGGGUUGCAUCUAUUUUAGGAGAUUGGAGUCCAGUAAUAGAAGCUCAAGGUGAUUUCUACCUUUAUUGUGAUCAAGGUCACCAUGUUUCCCUUUUAUAGGAAAGAGACCAACAAUGGACACAUUCGAGCUAACCGAGCAUUGUUGCGUGGUAGUGAGCUCUAUGACAGCACCUGUAGGACAGAAGCACAGAGACCAAUAACAGACACACCACACCUGAGUUGAGGAUUCUUCCUUGAUCAUGGACUCCGGGGUUACAUCUCUAUUUUAGGCGUUGGAAGACCAAUAAUGGAUGCUCUAGCUGAUUUCAUCUUCUGCUCUGAUCAAGAUUGUUAUGUUGCUUUUGUAUUAGGAGAGUAAAGCAAGGUGAGUAGUAAUAGAGGUUCUGUCUUGGUUUCGGUCAUUUGU